AGCAGGUGCAGUCUGAGUACUUGGCUGUGUUGGAGGGACCGUGACCAGCAGUGGAGGGGAAGAAGAACUCCAGCUCCUAACAGACAAAAAUAGCAGAUGCCAAUGAGUCUGAACCAUGUCCUGCAUUUUUAGUGCCAUCGGUACCAAACUGGGCUCUGAGACUAUUCACUGCGUCUUUCUGUGCCACACCAGAAUCAGUCGGGCCCAGAACUUUUCUCCAGGUCGACACUGCCUCAUCCCCCAUCAGCUCCAUAGCAAUCACGGGACCGGAGCUUACAAACUGCACCAGAUUACUGUUGUUGAAGAAGAAGCAACUUUAUGCUUGGUGUUUUUGAACGUACUGUAUUUGUGGUUAAAAACACGCAAAGUCAUGUCAAAGUCACUGUGACAAUCUCAAUGUUGGUGGUUCAGGUGUCAGAGUCUCCUUCAAAACCAGCCCUUGCAUAUAAGUCAAUCAUUGACUCAGGAAAGACUCACUUGAAAAAAGACUUUGACUGAUGUUCCAUGUAAAAGUCCGCUGCCUGCUUCCUGUAAGAAAGCCAUAAAAGUACACAGAGUUAAUAAGUGAUCUCCAAACCCUACCAUCUCUCGGCUGACUCCUAUAGUGAAAUAGAGUUUUAUGUAUGAAACUAA